GCCUCAACCCAGAGAGAAUCACUCCAUUUUCACCAUUGUUAGUGUAGUGAAACAAACGUGAAACUGAGCUGACAUCCAUCUGGAUCACCAGGCUAGGGGCUAGGGGCUUGGGAGGUUAAUGCCCAAGCCCCUAUUCUGUUGUAGAAUUUUGGUUUAAUGUUUGGUAAUGUGUUUAGGUUUACUUUUUAAGUCUUCCACUUUAAAAAAAAAAAACAUGACAAAUGUUUGUAGAAACAGGCUGGAUGGUAUUUUACACUUGCAUGUUUAUUUUCAGGGAAAGGUCUACCCAAGCCCCCAUCAAAAUUUGCCCUGAAGAACCAGAACCUAUGCCACUGCUACCAAGAAGCAAAAGGCUAAAACACAGCACAAGCCACCAAGUAAUGACGGUGAGGACCAAUCAUCACAAUUUAAGCCAACUCCUUACUCUUGAUCAUUUUGUCUCAGAAAGCUAUUCUAAUUUUAAAAACAAUUGGCAUGAUGUUGACCAAUCUUUUCUUACAGCGAAUUCUCUUUGUCUCUCACAUGGCUUAACCCUGGAGCAUGAGGGAGUGGUCUCUUUCUGACUUCUUAAUUGUGGAAUCCACCUCACCAAAUCGCUGCAAAGGAUCAGACCCUUUUCCUGUGACAGACGCAAGCCAAACCAAGCCCCAACUAAAAUCUGCUCCGACACACCAGAAAGCCAGUGCCACUAAGAAGCAAAAGGCUAAAACCCCCUGCAAGCCACCAAUUAUUGGUGGUGAGGGGAAAUGGCAAACUAAAACACCACACAAGCCACCAAGUGUGGGGAUAGAGAAAUGGCAAACUAAAACCAAGCCACCAAGUGAUUAUAGUGAGAGGAUCCUUCACAACUUAAGCCAACUCCUAUUUCUCAUUCUUGACUGUUGUAUUUGGGGAAGGCAUUCUAAUUUUACCAAGAAUUGCUAUGAUGUCCAAUAUUUUAUUGCAGAAAAUGUUGAGCUUUCAUGCUCCAGGGAUGGUCAUGUGCAAGACUCUGCUUCUGCCUCUUCAGAUGAGAGAUCCCCCUCACCAAAGCAUUGCAAAGAAUCAGACCCUUUUCCUACGCCAGAAGCAAACUUUCAAGAGGCAUAUAUCUCCUUUGUGAGAUCCGUGACCUCUUCAAGACAGUCGCCCUAG
rnacentral:lncRNA from 13 species